AUGCAUGUCUAAGUACACGCCAGAUAAAAUGGUGAAACUGCGAAUGGCUCAUUAAAUCAGUUAUGGUUCCUUAGAUCGUACAAUCCUACUUGGAUAACUGUGGCAAUUCUAGAGCUAAUACAUGCGUCAAAGCUCCGACCUUCGGGGAAGAGCGCUUUUGUUAGUACAAGACCAAUCCGGCUUCGGUCGGUGCAGUUUGUGUUGACUCUGAACAACUUUGUGCUGAUCGCACGGCCUAGCGCCGGCGACGUAUCUUUCGAAUGUCUGCCCUAUCAACUGACGAUGGUACGUGCUAUGCCUACCAUGGUUGUAACGGGUAACGGGGAAUCAGGGUUCGAUUCCGGAGAGGGAGCAUGAGAAACGGCUACCACA
rnacentral:rRNA from 1 species